AUUUUCCACCGAGGAUUACAAAAAGUAAUACAUUAAAUAUUAAAAAUAAAUGUUAGAAAGCGCCAAAAAGGAUAAUGAUAAUGGGUGGUCAUCAGAAAGUAAGUUCCCACGCGCUUGGUAGGUGGAAAACAACAAAUAAUUUUUUUUUUUGAAUGGAGGGAGGGGACUGGAAAAACAUUUGCAGCCGAGUGCCAAAUUUCUGAAUAGGUCUCUGAGCCAUCCAUAGGUAACAGAAUUAAAC